GCAAUUGAAGUAUGAGGCUGCUGCCCCUGUUUUCCAGGAGUUACAGUGUAAUAAACAAUUAGACAGCAACCCCCUUGUACAUAAGCUAUUCCUAGGUGUGUGGUAUCAGCCACGUUUAUUGCUGCAGGGGUUCUGGCUGGAGAGAAAUAAUCACUGAGAAUCGGGAGCAGGAGAAGUUUUCCUUAAGAGGAAGAAAUUAAGAGGAGACUUGAAAGGUCAGGCCCAGACCCGCCAUCCUUUCACACCGGUCUUCAAACCCUGGCCAGGCUAACUGAUCAGUCUAGUUGCUGUUUAUGCCAACAUGUAGACAAUGCAAAGAAACCUGAACUCACGUUUAUUUCUGCCAAUGUAAGUGCCUGGUGGAAGCAUUCCAGAAGACGGAUGCAUAACAACAUGUGGCAUCCACAACCAGAGAAAAUAUGUCAUGCUGCUUCUCCUGCUGGUGAGUCAACUGGACGCAGAAAAAGCUCUAGAAGCUCAAGAACUAUGUUUUACUCAGACUGGCAGGAACACAUGGAAACCGGAGGUGUAGAAGAAGUGCCAUGAGGAAGAAGAGGCACAGCAAACUUCAGACUGGGAGGUCACAGGUUCCAACCUGACAUUAUCUGUAAAUAACACUGGUCUUUUUAUUGCAUGUGGCUAUCAAGUACACAAGUGGUUCUCACCUAGAUGAUCAGGAUGCCUUGGACUUGGUUAUCUGACACCUUCUGUUGCCAGGUACUCCACUUGAAAUGGCAGCCAAAUUAUGAACUUGGGCUCUUUUGUUCAUAAAGUGGUACCAAGCAAACAUACUAGACAUGUUAUUUAAAAAAAAAAAAAAAAACACUUGUAUAUCAGAAUUCUAAGUUCUUUUUGGUACUCAAGACUCUUUGCCCAGCAUUUGGGACUCAUGAGAUUAAAAAGGCAGUAUUUUGAAUCUCUCCGUAGUAACAGAAAAAGAGUUCAACAUCACCAUGCAAGCAUUGGGAGCACUUCAGUUAGAAGUCAACAGCCUCGCCUCUGUUGUAUUUGAAAACUGCUGCCUCCCGGAUGCCCUGACAGCCCAGCAGGGAGGAGCUUGUAUGAUUAUUGGUGAAAAAAAUGCUAUUUCUAUGUAAAACCACACAGGGCAAGCAGAGACUGUGAUCUACACCUCUUAAAAGAAAAGAUAAAUAUCCUCCAUCAGAUUGAUGAAGACCUGUUCCCAAGAACAGGAGACUGGUUUAAUGGAGUGCGGGGAAAUCUGUUCUUUUCUACUUAUUUAUUCUCAUACAUUCUCAUUCUCAACAUUCUAAUCUAUGUUCUUGUCUUCUUGUUCAGAUCUCUUGUUCCUUGACUACUAACCAGAGCCUUCUCUCCACAGCCACUGACUCAGUUGUCAAUAUGUGAAACUUCUAGGGAAGUUCCAGACUGGGGGAAUGAAGGAGCUCAGGAAAUUUCACCCCAAAAUAUGACUCCUUGAUAUUUUGAAUUAAGGCCCUUAGAGAUUAACAGGCCCUUGCAAAACAAAACAAAACAAAACAAAACAAAACAAAACAAAACAAAACAACAA